rnacentral:rRNA from 1 species
AGAGUUUGAUCCUGGCUCAGGACGAACGCUGGCGGCGUGCCUAAUACAUGCAAGUCGAACGCACUCUCGUUUAGAUUGAAGGAGCUUGCUCCUGAUUGAUAAACAUUUGAGUGAGUGGCGGACGGGUGAGUAACACGUGGGUAACCUGCCCUAAAGUGGGGGAUAACAUUUGGAAACAGAUGCUAAUACCGCAUAAAACCUAACACCGCAUGGUGUAGGGUUGAAAGAUGGUUUCGGCUAUCACUUUAGGAUGGACCCGCGGUGCAUUAGUUAGUUGGUGAGGUAAAGGCUCACCAAGACCGUGAUGCAUAGCCGACCUGAGAGGGUAAUCGGCCACACUGGGACUGAGACACGGCCCAGACUCCUACGGGAGGCAGCAGUAGGGAAUCUUCCACAAUGGACGAAAGUCUGAUGGAGCAACGCCGCGUGAGUGAAGAAGGUUUUCGGAUCGUAAAACUCUGUUGUUGGAGAAGAAUGUAUCUGAUAGUAACUGAUCAGGUAGUGACGGUAUCCAACCAGAAAGCCACGGCUAACUACGUGCCAGCAGCCGCGGUAAUACGUAGGUGGCAAGCGUUGUCCGGAUUUAUUGGGCGUAAAGCGAGCGCAGGCGGUUUCUUAAGUCUGAUGUGAAAGCCUUCGGCUCAACCGAAGAAGUGCAUCGGAAACUGGGAAACUUGAGUGCAGAAGAGGACAGUGGAACUCCAUGUGUAGCGGUGAAAUGCGUAGAUAUAUGGAAGAACACCAGUGGCGAAGGCGGCUGUCUGGUCUGUAACUGACGCUGAGGCUCGAAAGCAUGGGUAGCAAACAGGAUUAGAUACCCUGGUAGUCCAUGCCGUAAACGAUGAGUGCUAGGGUGUUGGAGGGUUUCCGCCCUUCGUGCCGCAGCCUACGCAUUAAGCA